AUGGUCGGGGUAGGAGGGCCCUUGAAGGGUGCGCGUUCCCGUGGCGGUGCACCGGGUAGGUUUCAGUCAGAGUCACUAUGGCGGCCGGCGCUGGCAAGGUCGGAAAGUUUCCUGCCUUAUCGGGCACAGCCUGAGCGUGUCCCACCGGCCGCGAGUGGUGGAGGCUGCGGCGGACCCAGCCCGGGGCCUCCAGGCCUCUCCCCCAAUCUCCGGGCCAGCCUCCCUCCCCCACCUCCUCGUCCGCUGGGAGCUGUGGCUGCCGUCCCUGAGAUGCGACCCUCGCGGGGGCGACCCUGAAAGAAGGCGGCCGGUGUGCUGAGCAGCAGCCAGGAGCCCAGGCGUUCAGGGACCAACUUCCUGCGGGCCGAGACCCCUGAGCCUCCCGGGGUUGUGCCUCGCUCGGUCCGCACCGGCCUGCAGAGCCAGAUCUCCGCCCUGGGCGCGGGGACGCCCGCCAGGUGCCCGGGAGUCCCGACUUGGCCGCUGCCCGCGCCUCUGCCUGUCCCCGCUCCUCGCGCCAAGGACCCCAGCUACUGCCGUCUCGGCUCGUGCCAGGGACCCCGUGCCACCUUCCGGGCGGCCUCCGCGCCGCAGGAGCAAUGCAGACUGUCCCGCUGGCGGUCUAAACCCCCUUGCCGCCCCCCUCGCCUCUGCCGUUCCACUCCCCGAGGCCCUCGAAGAGGGGCGGUGGCUGCCCAGAGGUGCUCGGCUACACCUUCCUUCGGCCCGAGAGGACCUUCCUGGCCGCACGGAACCGACCCUUCCUUCAUGCUGCAGUGCUGCAACGUUUCCGCCACCGAGGGGGAAAAGCGGCCGCGAUCCCAAACAAAACACAAGAAUUGGUGUGUGACUCAUCUGCUUGGAUACCUCCAGUCCCCAAACUGUCUUCCAGGAGUUUUCUUGGCCGAAGCUGGCCGAUGUUUGAGCCUUUUCUUCCCAGGGAAGAAGAUGGACUGAAAGCUGCCCGUUGGGGAGUUUGUGCGAUCAGGGCGCUGCUGGCUUUUAAAGGAGGUGAUGGGGCUUGCGCUGGCUUGUCUUCCCACUCAAGUGAAGAGUUGUUGAUGUUCACUGGUUAUGCUUAGACAAUGCGCAGUUUGUUUUAAUUUAAAAUUUUGGGGGGGAUAGGGGUAUAGGCUUGUGAAGGGCAGUCCGGAUCCGGUGGAACUCCUCUUUGUACCUUGGUAGGAGAGACACCCCCAGUCUGUCCUCGAUGCCGUCAGCCUUGGCCAUCUUCACUUGCCGCCCGAACUCGCACCCAUUUCAGGAGCGCCAUGUCUACCUGGACGAGCCCAUUAAAAUCGGCCGCUCCGUGGCCCGCUGUCGACCAGCGCAGAAUAAUGCUACCUUUGAUUGCAAAGUACUGUCAAGGAACCAUGCUCUCGUCUGGUUUGAUCACAAAACGGGCAAGGUAAUGUCACCACGUUAUCUAACAAUCUUUACUUUUCGUUUCCCUUUGCUCUUUUUUGCAUAAUGUAUGCAGGAUCCCGGCAUUUGCACCCAGAGGAGACUUUCAGCAAGGCCAUGGACCAACUUUUUCUGUGUCUGGUUCUAUUGGAGAUUAAGUUGAGGUGGUUGAAUGGAAAACAGAAGGUAUUGUAAUUAAAUGCCUCGGGAGGGCGAUGACAUCUUGAUAAUGUGGUCAUUCCCAGUGAAAUCCCAAACCCUAAUUCAUUUUGGGAAAACUAGAUAGUGAAACUUAGCUUCUUGCUUCCAGUCUUUUUAGAAAGGUGAAUUUGCCGUUCAGUGCUUGAAUAAGCAAGCAGCAGUUCCCAAAGCAAUGCUGGGAAUCUGUGGCCAGUAUUACACUGGGGCUCAGGUGUCUCAGUGGUGAGAUGUAGUUAACACAGCUUUUAGUUGAGUUCAGAUCACCGUCUUUCUAGUAAGGACAGUUGUUUGUGUAAAUUUACAGUUUUGAAAGAUUUGAUACAUAUUUACACAUGGAGUAAUUUGCAAUUUUCAAAGCCAAUUUCAUUAAGCAUGAACAACUGUAACUUUACAUUUUCAGAGUUUUGUUUGCAAGUUGGGUGAACAUAUAUGUAUUGCUUUUGAAAAUCACUUUUUGAUGUUCCCUGCAAGAACUUAUUAAAAAUACUUAAUGCAUACUUACAGAGGUGAUAUUUAAAAAUCAGUGUUAGGAAAUUAAUUUACUUUCUGAAAUUAUAUCCAAUUCUAUCAAAUAUUGCAUUACCUAGAUGUGAUAGGAUGAAUUUAACACCCUUUAUUUUUAAGUGUGAUCCUUUUGCAUUUUUAAGUUGGCACCCUAAUUUACUAUACAUGUGGGUGCUUAUAUUUUAAGAAUACAAGAAAAAAAUUAAAUAAGACCCUUUCAAUUUUUAAAACUUUUUUUUGCUCCCUCUUCCUGAGUUAAAUGAUUAAGUCUUUUUUUAAAAGAAGAAUUUAAGUUUUCAAUAGUAGUAUUUUGAAA